UGGGAUGCAGGCAGCAAGACCUUGUUGUGAUGGUUGAAGUUUGAAGAUUAAACUUUUGCGAAUAAUGUGAACGGAAAUGGAAAUGUAGCAUUUGACGGAAGGCGAUAAUUUCCAGUCCGCCGCGCAGUCGUCGUUGCCCACGGAGAAAAAGAAGAAUAAGAAGAACCAUGGUUUUGUCUGAGGGUGGGGCUUGCGUGUGUAUAGGUAAAAAGUAUAGCAAGUUGUUGGGAUAAUGAUGUUAGAGCUUUUCUUGUUUGACUUUGCAGUUCAAGGAUGGCGUUCUUCAAUUCCACCUCAACUUUUUGUAUUCUGCUAACUACUGUGGACGAACAUUACAGGUGAGGAAGAGGGCAAGAUUUUCAAACAUCAAGAUUCUUAUCGGCAUCAGUUUUAUGCUGAAGAACUCGAGACACCGUGCGAAAUAGGUAACCGUACAUAAUUAUGCUCUUUCUGUUUGAUGUUCAAACCUUGAGACUGCCUGCUUGGAUUAUAAAUGGUAGCUGACCUUAGUUUUUAGGACACUGCUUGUUGUCAUUGACCACAGAAGGAGAUUCGGCUAAGAUUUCCUAGCUGUCAUUAAGACGUUCUAGCAAUUAAGGUUUCAACGAUAAGAUCAAAAAGAUUGCUUGAGCUUUAUUCGAAAUCUAGUGUGCAAAUGGCUCCGUACUUGCUUAAGUCAAUGCAUAUCUCUCAACAAGUCACCAAUAAGGUGAGAAUAAUAUGAAGUGGACUAAUCUUAAUUUGAUUUGUUUAUGAGCAUUUAGUCUUGACUUUUCUAGAGCCCCUUCCUUGACUUCACAUCAAAUGCAAGCUACACGACGAUACCUGACCGAGUACCGGGUGUAGAGGUAUACUUUAAAAUAUAGCUUUGUAUGAAUCAACUGCCGAAUUUAUUAAUCUUUGGACUUUUUUUUUAUUAUUAUUAUUGGAGGAUAUUCCUUUUAAUGCUUAGAACGAUUGAGCUCUAGCCAUUGAGACAAAUGUCUAUGACUAAAAGAUCAAAAGUUAAAAUCUCUUCACUCACAUGUUGUUGAACUAAAAGAACUGUUUUAUAGAACGGUGAUGGAGGCAGUUUGUAUGGCUCUUCGAACCAAGCUAGAUAGUUUCCUAUCACUAGGCUCACUGACAUCUUCAAGAGUUUUAGUUGAACAGGUGCACUCACUGAAGGAAGCUUUCCGACACGAGUUCCACUGGUUCAGAUUAGGAAAGAGCAGGUAGAGAAGAGAACACUUAACUUUGACCUCACCCGAUAGAUAUGCAAUAAAUGAAUAAAUAACUGAGUUUACUUUUUGUGUUAGCUUUUCAUUUUUAUACUCAAUGUCACCACUUGUUUGAAAUUCCCUGCAUUUGGUACUCUCUUCCUUCCUCCAUCAUCCAAUGAAUAUGUUUCUUUACAUUGGAA